AUCUUUUCAAAACCCUUUACUAUUAUCCUGUGGCAUUAUUUUCUUUGAGAUUUACAUUACAUUACAUUACAUUAUAUUACAUUACAUUGGAGGGUUGGUUGAUAUACGUUAUACCAGCUCAGUGAUUCAGCAGCAUUAGGGGCGUAGAGAGGGGGCUUGUGUAGUUACAGCAAAGGAAUAUUUUCCACAAUAGAAGUGUUUUGGUUGUUGUUGUUGUCUUUGUUUUAAUGGUGGUAGUGGUGGUGGUAGUUAUUUGAUUUUCACAGUAGACCUGUAAGGUACUAUUUAAGAAACGGGCUUGAGAAACAGGUUCAGAGAUUUUAAGCUUGUAUAUCAUGUAAUUGCGUGGAAUACAGUUGGUAAUUAUUAAAUAUUUAUUUAAUGAAUGAAGUUACAAUGAUAGCAUUAAAGCUCAGGACUGGCUGACAUCAAAGCUUGAGCUUUUAAUCCCUAUUCCUCAAAAUAUCUCUUCUACUUUUGUCAUGGCAAAUGAAACCACUUUCUCCAGAAUGGGAAUUGCAUAUUGAUCCUCCCUGGCUUCCUUUAAUCUUUUAUUUAUGACACUGUAUCUGUCAGAAAUUCCUUAAAUUUUUUUCUAUAGAGCUUGUUUCCUUCUCAAGUUUUCAGUGCAAUAUGGGCUUUCCAAAUUUUUUUAUGUGUUUGUGCACACAUGCAUGUGCAUGUGGAGGGUGUAUGUGUGUGUUUUAAAUAAUUUCACUUGGUAAUGUGGUGUUAAGUAGAAGAAGGAGAGAUUAUCUGCUUAUUGUCAGUUUGUCCAAUAUUCUCUUGUAGUUAUAUUUUUCCUUAUUUGGGAUCUUUGUUAGUUACCAGAAAUUGAACUAGGUUAAUAUCUGUAGCCAUUAAUAUUUUUAGGUUAUGAUUUUUACUUAUGGCAGUAGGACCUUUCUGACUAUAAC
rnacentral:lncRNA from 10 species